rnacentral:piRNA from 1 species
UUAAAACAGUGAAUUUCGAAG